UACGAGGGGGGCAAGCGUUGUUCGGAAUUAUUGGGCGUAAAGCGCGCGCAGGCGGUUUCUUAAGUCUGAUGUGAAAGCCCACGGCUCAACCGUGGAGGGUCAUUGGAAACUGGGGAACUUGAGUGCAGAAGAGAAAAGCGGAAUUCCACGUGUAGCGGUGAAAUGCGUAGAGAUGUGGAGGAACACCAGUGGCGAAGGCGGUUUUUUGGUCUGUAACUGACGCUGAGGCGCGAAAGCGUGGGGAGCAAACAGG
rnacentral:rRNA from 1 species